rnacentral:lncRNA from 1 species
AAGUACCUGAUCAGAAUCAAAUGCAGCACUGGUUUAUGAUGGCAUUCCUCCAGGCAGCACCGGGCUACUUGCAAUCACUGAACUUCCCCUAUGGUGUGAAUAGGAUGUGUAGAUACUGCUCUGUCAGACAACUUCCACAUGCUGCAACUCUGGAAUUGAAAAAUGAAUAAAUCUGAAAUUCAGCACUGGUGCCAUGUGAACAUGUUUUCCUUCGGAAGCUUUAGCAAGACAGAUGCCUGUUCUACCCUGAAAACACACCAUGAUCCCAACACAGAUCUCGAUGCAGCGUUGUGCGUCAAACUAAGCGCUGUUGGAAACAACUUGUAUAAGUGAGUUCUGAUUCUCUAUAGAGGUCGCCUACUUAGGUGAGUUCGGUAUUUGACAUGGAUACAAUGGGAAGUGAUCUUCAGCUCUUGACAUUAUUUAAUGGAAUCCACUUCACCUGUUUAUUCGGUCUGUAAAAUGGAGUAAGUGCAUGUGUUUUUGGCUUCAAGAAGAAGGGCAUGUGCUGUUGUAAAAAAAAUGUGCUGU